rnacentral:rRNA from 1 species
UACAGAGGUCCCGAGCGUUGUUCGGAUUCAUUGGGCGUAAAGGGUGCGUAGGCGGCCAACUAAGUCAGACGUGAAAUCCCUCGGCUUAACCGGGGAACUGCCUCUGAUACUGGAUGGCUUGAGUUCGGGAGAGGGAUGCGGAAUUCCAGGUGUAGCGGUGAAAUGCGUAGAUAUCUGGAGGAACACCGGUGGCGAAGGCGGCAUCCUGGACCGACACUGACGCUGAGGAGCGAAAGCCAGGGGAGCAAACGGG